AUGGAAAGGGUCGGGGUUUGGCUUAGUACCCAGAAACAAGCGAAGUGGUCGUGAGCUAUUGAGGUAGGAUUGAGGUGGGCAUGGCGGUGGGCAUUGGGGUGUGAUUGAUGUGGGCAUUGCAAAGGGAUUGAGGUGGGAAUUGCGGUGGGAUUGAUGUGGGCGUUGAGGAGGGGUAUAGGUGCUGCUGAGAUGCGUAUUGUGGUGGCAUUGAGGCAGACAAUGAGGCAGACAUUGAGGCGGGAACCUUCUUUUCAAUUGGUACGUCUCGCGUGACGUGUAGGCCAUUCAAAUAUACUGACGUAGUUAAAAAA